GACGAACGCUGGCGGCGUGCUUAACACAUGCAAGUCGAACGGAAAGGCCCUGCAUUUGUGGGGUGCUCGAGUGGCGAACGGGUGAGUAACACGUGAGUAACCUGCCCUUGACUUUGGGAUAACUUCAGGAAACUGGGGCUAAUACCGGAUAGGAGCUCCUGCUGCAUGGUGGGGGUUGGAAAGUUUCGGCGGUUGGGGAUGGACUCGCGGCUUAUCAGCUUGUUGGUGGGGUAGUGGCUUACCAAGGCUUUGACGGGUAGCCGGCCUGAGAGGGUGACCGGCCACAUUGGGACUGAGAUACGGCCCAGACUCCUACGGGAGGCAGCAGUGGGGAAUAUUGCACAAUGGGCGGAAGCGUGAUGCAGAAACGCCGCGUGCGGGAUGACGGCCUUCGGGUUGUAAACCGCUUUCGCCUGUGACGAAGCGUGAGUGAAGGUAAUGGGUAAAGAAGCACCGGCUAAAUACGUG
rnacentral:rRNA from 1 species